rfam:Dracunculus medinensis genome assembly, scaffold: DME_scaffold0000063
CAAACGGCCCUCCUUAGGGCCACUAAUUCACCAUGGAUCCAAUCU